GAUGAACGCUGGCGGCGUGCCUAAUACAUGCAAGUCGAGCGAACGGACGAGAAGCUUGCUUCUCUGAUGUUAGCGGCGGACGGGUGAGUAACACGUGGAUAACCUACCUAUAAGACUGGGAUAACUUCGGGAAACCGGAUCUAAUACCGGAUGAUAUUUUGAACCGCAUGGUUCAAAAGUGAAAGACGGUCUUUCUGUCACUUAUAGAUGGAUCCGCACUGCAUUAGCUAGUUGGUAAGGUAACGGCUUACCAAGGCAACGAUGCAUAGCCGACCUGAGAGGGUGAUCGGCCACACUGGCACUGAGACACGGUCCAGACUCCUACGGGAGGCAGCAGUAGGGAAUCUUACGCAAAGGGCGAAAGCCUGACGGAGCAACGCCGCGUGAGUGAUGAAGGUCUUCGGAUCGUAAAACUCUGUUAUUAGGGAAGAACAUAUGUGUAAGUAACUGUGAACAUAUUGACGGUACCUAAUCAGAAAGCCACGGCUAACUACGUG
rnacentral:rRNA from 1 species